rnacentral:rRNA from 1 species
GAUAACACUUAGAAAUAGGUGCUAAUACCGCAUAAGCGCACGAAGCCGCAUGGAUUUGUGUGAAAAACUCCGGUGGUGUAAGAUGGACCCGCGUCUGAUUAGCUUGUUGGCGGGGUAACGGCCCACCAAGGCGACGAUCAGUAGCCGGCCUGAGAGGGUGGACGGCCACAUUGGGACUGAGACACGGCCCAAACUCCUACGGGAGGCAGCAGUGGGGGAUAUUGGACAAUGGGGGGAACCCUGAUCCAGCGACGCCGCGUGAGUGAAGAAGUAUUUCGGUAUGUAAAGCUCUGUCAGCAGGGAAGAAAGAAAUGACGGUACCUGACCAAGAAGCCCCGGCUAACUACGUGCCAGCAGCCGCGGUAAUACGUAGGGGGCAAGCGUUAUCCGGAAUUACUGGGUGUAAAGGGAGCGUAGACGGUUAAGUAAGUCUGGAGUGAAAGGCCGGGGCUCAACCCCGGGACUGCUCUGGAAACUAUUUAACUUGAGUGCAGGAGAGGUAAGCGGAAUUCCUAGUGUAGCGGUGAAAUGCGUAGAUAUUAGGAGGAACACCAGUGGCGAAGGCGGCUUACUGGACUGUAACUGACGUUGAGGCUCGAAAGCGUGGGGAGCAAACAGGAUUAGAUACCCUGGUAGUCCACGCCGUAAACGAUGAUUACUAGGUGU